UAAAUAAUAAAAAUAAUUAAUAUUGAGAAAUGUGACAUUGGAAAAAGUCUUAACAUUCAUUGCCACAAAACUGGAUUUUCAAGAAAACAAGGUUUAGUUCAAUUUAAAGAUCUUCCUUGUGAAAAACAAGAAGAAAUAAUAUGGCGAGCAAAUUUAAAGGAAAAAUAUAGUUCAAUAAGAAUUAUAUGUUGUUAUCAUGAGCAAUUCUAUGGAAAAUAUUUUGAGAGAAAAAUUACAAAGUGUUGCAAUCCUUUUGGAACACACAAGGAAAGUAAAAAAAUUGCUAUAAAAGGUAAUAUAAAGAUUUCCAUAGACAUGGCAAACUAUUUGCAAAAAAAAAUAAUGUUUAUGUAACCCCAGAUUGAAAAUUCUGCAGUAAAUGUUACAAAAAAGCAAUAGAAACUGAUGAAGAUUUAAAUUCACAGGAGGAAUGGGAAUCAAAAAGUGAGAAAAAAAUUAAGUUAGAUACCACUAUAGAAUUGCUUGGAAUCUCACCGGUCAAACUAAAAAGUCUUUCAAAACACAGC